CAGAGUCAGAGAUGAGAUCUGGCUCCCGUAGGAGUCCAGGCGAAGUCUACCUGCAAUAAAGUCAGGGGCGAAGUCUGGCUCCCUUAGGAGUCCGGACGAAGUUUACCAGCAGUUGAGGUCGGGGAUGGAGCCCGGCUCCCGUAGGAGUCCGGGCGAAGCCUUCCAGUAGUUGAGGUCGGGGAUGAAGUCUGGCUCCCGUAGGAGUCCGG
rnacentral:lncRNA from 1 species